GCCUGGGUGGCUCAGUUGGUUGAGUGUCUGACUUUGGCUCAGGUCAUGAUCUUGUGGUCCAUGGGUUCCAACCCCACAUCAGGCU
rnacentral:tRNA from 1 species